GGCCUAGUGGCGCAAUGGUAGCGCGUUACUUUCCGGUAAACAUGGCUGGUAAAGGUUCCAGGUUCGAAUCCUGGCUGGGUCG
rfam:Myceliophthora thermophila ATCC 42464 chromosome 1, complete sequence.